UAUCUCUGUAGAGUCUGCAUAUCAAUAAGCGGAGGAAAAGAAACUAACUAGGAUUCCCUCAGUAACGGCGAGUGAAGCGGGAAGAGCUCAAAUUUCGAAAUCUUCAAGGUUCUACCUUGACGAAUUGUAGUUUAAAGAAGUGUUUUCUGUUGGUAGUUUUGGUAAAAGUUCUUUGGAAUAGGACAUCAUAGAGGGUGAGAAUCCCGUAUUUGACCAUUACUUUCCAGCGUUGUGAUACACUUUCAAAGAGUCGGAUUGUUUGGGAAUGCAGUCCAAAAUGGGUGGUAAAUUUCAUCUAAAGCUAAAUAUUGGCGAGAGACCGAUAGCGAACAAGUACCGUGAGGGAAAGAUGAAAAGAACUUUGAAAAGAGAGUUAAACAGUACGUGAAAUUGUCAAAAGGGAAGCGUUUGACACCAGUGUUGUUUUCUCGAAAAUCAAUUAAAAAAGGCAGGAUUUUGUGUUGUAUUGACUUUAUCAGCUUUCUGCACUCUUUUCUUGUCUUUUUUAAUGCACUUUUCGUUUAACAAGUCAACAUCAAUUUCUUUUGUUGUAAAAGGGUCAUUGGAAGGUGGCUUUCUUUUCGGAGAAAGUGUUUAUAGCCUUUGGCCUCUGCAAUCGGAGAGAUUGAGGUCUGCAGCGUAGAUCCUUCGAGGUUAGAUACAUUUGUGCUAAGUUAUAGCCUUUCAUAGACAACUUGUUGACUAUGAUCAGUCAUGUAGCUUACUCGCUUAUGCUAUUUUACCUACGCUUAGGAUGUUGACGAUCAGCUGAGCGCG
rnacentral:rRNA from 1 species